AUUAUCUCCCAGGCUUCGGUCCUUAAGGGUGAGGACUGUGUGGCACACACAGUCUAAGGAAGUGGGCAUCACUGUGGACCCUUCCUCCAUCCCAGGCUGAUGGACCUUCCUAGGCUCAUCUUACGUCAUGCUGCUACAUUGAGGAGAAAAACCUGAGGAAGCCCCUACCCUUCUUGAACGACCCGGAUGUUGCAGAAUCAAGCCUGGCACAGGGCACUGGCAGAGACACAGAAGGGAAACUGUCCAGCGAUGAGAGCAAAAUCUCUGAUUGUAUGGUGACCAUGGAGAUGCCACCUGUGAAGUAGCC
rnacentral:lncRNA from 10 species